UACGUAGGGCGCAAGCGUUAUUCGGAAUUAUUGGGCGUAAAGGGCGCGUAGGCGGCUUUUCAAGUGACGGGUGAAAUCCCUCGGCUUAACCGAGGAACUGCCUGUCAGACUGGAAGGCUUGAGACCGGGAGAGGUGAGUGGAAUUCCCAGUGUAGCGGUGAAAUGCGUAGAUAUUGGGAGGAACACCAGUGGCGAAGGCGGCUCACUGGACCGGAACUGACGCUGAGGCGCGAAAGCGUGGGGAGCAAACAGG
rnacentral:rRNA from 1 species